rnacentral:rRNA from 1 species
UACAGAGGGCCCAAGCGUUGUUCGGAUUCAUUGGGCGUAAAGGGUGCGUAGGCGGUGCCGUAAGUCGGGUGUGAAAUUUCGGAGCUUAACUCCGAAACUGCAUUCGAUACUGCGGUGCUUGAGGACUGGAGAGGAGACUGGAAUUCAUGGUGUAGCGGUGAAAUGCGUAGAGAUCAUGAGGAAGACCAGUGGCGAAGGCGGGUCUCUGGACAGUUCCUGACACUGAGGCACGAAGGCCAGGGGAGCAAACGGG